GAGAGAGAGAGAGAGAGAAGCGGAGGCUGGGGGCUGGUGGACUCAUCGAGCUGCAGAGCACAAUCAGGCCAACGCUAAACACUUUUGGCUGUCCAAAAGACACUGUGGGCCAGAAAACCUGCUUUGGAUCCGCAGGCUAUGCUUUACAGGCUCCAGAUUUUGCUUUCCACACCGGGCUUCCUACCUUGUCCUCAUAUUUGCACCCCGACUCUGGCCCUAACGUCUUUCUAAAUGAUCAACGAGAAGUAGGAUUCCAUCAUGUCUGUGACUAUAGAUCAGGUUACCUCUACCAGUGGGACUGCCCGGACUCGGAGGUUGUGGGUGCAUCCCAGCAUCGGUGCAAACCUACACUAGACACAGCUGCUUCUUGUAAUGGGGGUCCUCUAGAAGAAUAACCUGCCUUGCAAUUAAAGGCUACUUUCUCAGAUUAUUAGGGGAAAGAAAAAACACUCUGUAUUUUUCUUUCCACAGACGGCCCGCACCUGGCUGAAGCCAAAGCUGCACAGCCCAUCUGACAUCCCACCAAUUGCAAUUCUGCAACUGCUUGUAAAUACGUGAGUCUGCGCCUCCCGAAGUGGUUUUUAGCUGGUCUCCUUAGGGAUUUGAGGCUUACACAACCGUUGUGUCUGUGUUGUAUCUGUGUAUCCCUCUGUCAAAUUCCAUCAAUGAGACAAAGUCUCCCAAAAUAUUAACUUCCGGUAUGUUUCAUGAAAAUAAUUAAGAGGCAGAAAUUCGGUUUAAUGUCCUCCUUAAAGGGAAAGCUGGAGUGGAUGCUGUGGAAAUCAUACGCAAAUCCACAGGGCAAGAAAUUAAGCUCACAGGGCAAAUCCUUAAUUUUUCUCAUAAAGCUACAUGCUUAAAAAAUAGCUGUAUAAACAAGAGAGUAGGAAGAACUGCAAGUUUCGGGCUGGUACAGGCUGUAAAGUCAGGCAGUGCUUUGGGGGUGCCGGUACGUAUGGACUGGCAUGAACAUGAAUUUAAGUUGCGCGUGCUCCUAAAGGGCACAGGCGAAGCUGGCCACGUUUUCUUCUCUGGAAGAUGCAUUUUGGAGACAUUCGUUUUUUUCUAAGGGAGUCAUAAAAGAAACGUAUUGAUGAUAACGAACAGAUUCUCAGCCGUGUCAAACCCUGGAACACUGCUAUGGGAAUGUGAAGAGCUGCAGAGGUUCAACGUCUUUGAAAAUCUGAUCACCGAAUAUUUCUAGUCAGCUUCCUCCGCCAAAGGGAUAUGAAAUUUUCCAAAUCUGUGCCAAACUCUGACGUUCGCCAACUGUUUCUCAAGUGGAUUUGGAUGAUGUAACCAAUAACCAUGAAACCCGCCUCCACUUUCUGAAUUACAUCUGGUUGAGAUGAAUUUCUAGGCGGACAAUACGAUGUAAAUGUGAAAGACUAUUUGUUCUAAAACUUAUUAUGCAGUUGCAUUAUGACAUAUAAAAGUCCCUAUGGUAACAUGGCAUAGUCUAAAGCAACUGCGUGCUCACGCACGGGAGAUCCAACGGUUUUGCCAUUUUAUUCUUAAUUAUCUGGUUUUUUAUUCUUAAUUAUCUGGUGGAUAACCCAGUUGAAAGACUGAGCCAGCUUCUCCAUCCUCAAAACCCAUGGAGCAAUGCUGAUUUACGUCAGCUGCAACCCUUGACUGCUGUUUACAAAAUAGUUAUCAAUUAAUUUCCUGCAUAAUUUGUCCAGAAACACACUGGAAGUGCUGCAGCCUGACUUUUCUUUGACCUCCAAUUCAGCAAGCGUCGUGUAGAAAAUUGCUUAAGCACGUGUUUAACCGCGAGCAAACGGUUUGACAUGCCUUUGAGCUUCAGAUAUGUGUUCGAGUGCUGUUAAAACGGGACCUUGCGGGCAGCAUCCCCCUGGCUUGUAUGGUCACUCGAGACAACCUUCGCACGACUGACAAAGGACCUACCGGCUCUUCACAACAAUGCCUCUCGUUGCUUCUUUUGGCAAUAAUUUCGCAAGUGUCUCUCAGAAGAAUUAGAUCACAGUCAGUCCCACCUUCGCUACAUAUUUGCUAGCUGAAUAAACAGGAUGAAACUGGACCGACGGUCAUGUCUGCUGGCAGAGCUGAGCGCUCUCAGUGCCGCAGAGACUGGUUCCAAGCGCGCAGGGUAUUCAACCAGCCUCUCGCAUCCCAGGGUUUGCCCUUUGCCAAAACUACAUCCCAGCAAAUGUUUUCGGUGCUGCCCUCAACGUUGCUACCAAUAAUGCGCGAACCAGAAAGACAAAUUCAUUCACAUUUUAA